GUCCACGCCGUAAACGAUGAGUACUAAGUGUUGGAAGAAUCCAGUGCUGUAGUUAACGCAAUAAGUACUACGCCUGAGUAGUACGUACGCAAGUAUGAAACUCAAAGGAAUUGACGGGACCCCGCACAAGCGGUGGAUCAUGUUGUUUAAUUCGAAGAUACACGAAAAACCUUACCAGGUCUUGACAUACCGAGCAAAAGCUAUAGAGAUAUAGUGGAGGUUAACUUGGAUACAGGUGGUGCAUGGUUGUCGU
rnacentral:rRNA from 1 species